UACGGAGGGUGCAAGCGUUGUUCGGAAUUACUGGGCGUAAAGCGCGCGUAGGCGGCGUGCUAAGUCAGAUGUGAAAGUCCACGGCUCAACCGUGGAAGUGCAUUUGAAACUGGCAUGCUUGAGUAUUGGAUGGGGUAGUGGAAUUCCCGGUGUAGAGGUGAAAUUCGUAGAUAUCGGGAGGAAUACCGGUGGCGAAGGCGACUACCUGGCCAAAUACUGACGCUGAUGUGCGAAAGCGUGGGGAGCAAACAGG
rnacentral:rRNA from 1 species